CAGGCUAGGAGCGUCUCCACCGCUUUGUUGCACAAAAAGCGACGGAGCCGCUAGUAGCUAUCAGAGAAACCGAGAAUGUAUGGAGCAGGGCGUGUCUAUCCACAACACCUUUUUUAAAGUUUCCCAGAAGUGCUUGGAUAUUUCUGCCCCUUAAUUCCCAUUCCUUGGGGAGUACAUUGAUGGGUUAAUAAAAAAUGCCUGCAGGUGGAGCUUGACCAAACACUUGUAAAAUACCUAAGGUGACUCCCUGUGGAAAUAUUGAUGACUUGCCCUAUGCAUUAGAAGAUCACGCAGGCUCCCAGCCCAAAGGGACUACAGAACAAUCUUGAUCACAUCCACCCAGCAACCUGGAAACAGCUUUGAAUUUCUUGUCGUGUUAACCUCUGGAUCUGAAGAGAGGUGAAAAUACAUGGGAAGAAAAGGAGUGCUUUGUCCAACUCUGUUCUAGCCCAUUUCAUGGUCUGGUUGAUUCUUUUGGUAGAUGCUGAACACUGGAAAAAUCCUGCAAGGAUU
rnacentral:lncRNA from 10 species